rnacentral:rRNA from 1 species
GACGAACGCUGGCGGCGCGCCUAACACAUGCCAGUCGAACGAGCGAGAGAGAGCUUGCUUUCUCGAGCGAGUGGCGAACGGGUGAGUAACGCGUGAGGAACCUGCCUCAAAGAGGGGGACAACAGUUGGAAACGACUGCUAAUACCGCAUAAGCCCACGGUGCCGCAUGGCACAGAGGGAAAAGGAGCAAUCCGCUUUGAGAUGGCCUCGCGUCCGAUUAGCUAGUUGGUGAGGUAAUGGCCCACCAAGGCGACGAUCGGUAGCCGGACUGAGAGGUUGAACGGCCACAUUGGGACUGAGACACGGCCCAGACUCCUACGGGAGGCAGCAGUGGGGAAUAUUGCACAAUGGGGGAAACCCUGAUGCAGCGACGCCGCGUGGAGGAAGAAGGUCUUCGGAUUGUAAACUCCUGUUGUUGGGGAAGAUAAUGACGGUACCCAACAAGGAAGUGACGGCUAACUACGUA